rnacentral:rRNA from 1 species
AUGAAGAAGAAACGUAUUCGCAACAGAGCCUCCCAAGAACGACUGACUAUGUUGACUGACAGAUUUAUUGACGAUCAGAAAGGAGCUACCGCUGAGAUGGGUAUGCAGGCUCUGAUGAACGUCCCGUGCACGAAUCUUGUCAACCCUGUAUGCGACUGGCUUGGUGAGAUUUACGACCCCGCCUCCAGGGAGUUUGUGAUUCCGGGAUGUGGAAGACUACCAUUGAACGAGGAAUCCAUGUUCUGCACUUCGGAUAUGCCUCGUGGACAGAUGAAAGUCCCGUACGAGGUCAAUAACGAGAUCGAGCAAGCGUUGUUCCCCCGUUUGUUUCCUGGGUUGGGAUCCAUGCCGAACACAUCUGUACUGGCAAAACUGAAAGAUGUGAAGAACAUGAACUGGUGUAAGUUCAUAGCCGACUUCCUGCACGAUGCAUUCUCAAGCAAGAUGUACCAAAAGGGUUGUCGACUGCAUUUAAUGCUCAUGUACGUCGACUGUCUUGAUCUGUCCACCGUGGAUUUCACUGGGACAGGAGGCCCGCCUCCUAUGCACAAGUUUGUUGUUUGUGCGUGGACUAUCAACACUGUCAAGGUUGUGCUUGCCGCAGACAGGGUAACUGAUACCAAGUAUGGAAAACUGCAGUUGAUGGCCAAGCAUGCUAUAGACUACAGCGUGUUUGAGGCGCCUCAAAACUUUGGAAAGUGGAUGGACGUGCACUCAGCUUCGUCUUGCCCGACUAAGGGCACCUGUUGA